CCCUUAGAUGUCCUGGGCCGCACGCGUGCUACACUGACACUUACACCGAGUUUUUCCGGCCCCGAGAGGUGGCUGGUAAUCAGUAAUAGGUGUCGUGAUGGGGAUAGAUCUUUGGAAUUAUUGAUCUUGAACGAGGAAUGCCUAGUAAUCGUAGGUCAUCAGCCUGCGAUGAUUACGUCCCUGCCCUUUGUACACACCGCCCGUCGCUCCUACCGAUUUCGAGUGGUCCGGUGAACCUUUCGGACAGAGAGAGUCUCGUACAAUCUCUGAAAGUCAAGUAAACCACAUCACUUAGAGGAAGGAGGAGUCGUAACA
rnacentral:rRNA from 1 species